rnacentral:misc_RNA from 1 species
UGGUGACUUCGGACCCGCACGAUAGGCCUGUGGAAACCAGGCUGACCAGACAUGCAUUAACAAGACCAAGCCUGGACCUGAUGUGAACUUCUUUCCUCUGAGUCCAAUCAAGUCCUCUGUCCAAGCUGUUGAUGCCUGUCAGUAUCAGGCUUUUGAGAGCAGAUUUACUCUGAUGUUUUACUUAGACAAAGAUCACCAGCUGUACAUGAACUGGUCUUCAUAUGAAAAUGAAAGUGGCAUCUAUGACUAUGAAGUGGGUCUGGCUUCAACAAAGAAUUAUGGAGACACCCCUGACAUCUCUCCUUUUACCAGCACACACCACAACUUUUAUCAGAAUGAUAAUCUGUCACUGCCAGUUGGAACUCCGUUUUAUAUAUUUAUCAAAGUCCAAAAAGCGGGAAAUGUCUCUUAUGCAGAACUGGGUCCUAUAGUUGUAAUUCAAUCUUCAGCCACUUACUCUGGAACAUUGAAUUUAACUAUGGAAUCAGAUUUUCUGGUUGUACGGUGGGAUGUACAGCUAUUUACAGAUCCAGAGAAAAAGUAUCUUAAGUUUUAUGUUGCCUUGGAGGAGCUAACAAGCGGCACGUUAUUGCAUCCAAAGUCUCUUGCACGUGCUUCGGGUAGCUGCAUCCAGUCCACUCCACCAUCAUGUGCUGCCUUCAACAUCUCGGAGCUUCACUGGGGACUUCAUCAACAACAUGCAUAUGUUGCAAAAGUGCAGGUCACAAACAUUGUAGACCUUGACCUCAUGUUGACAUCUGAACCCUACGUGCAUGACAGUAGGGGUAUGUAUUGCUAAUGCAUUUUCAUUUUCUUGUGUUAUGAGUGCAUGUGUGCCAUGUCCCCUUUACACAUUCUCGUGACUAUUGAAGAAGCUUUAACAGAUAAAUAUUCUCUUGGACCGUCCAAAUCUUGUAUAUUUUUUUUCCUAGUCCGAGAACUUUGACAAGACAUUAGUAUUCAGCACUCAUCUAAGUUCAGAAACAUACAGUAUUAAUCGACAAGUGGGGAUUAAGACACACAACAAGCGCCAACAGGGAGGAUGCUACAAACAACACAACACAACACAACACUAUACUAACCUCAGCUGAGGGAAUUCAACAUAAAUCUUCCAAAAAGGAAUUCAAAAAUUAAAAACCUCUUUAUAGGGAAUUUAAAACUUAUCUUUAACACUUCAGAAAUCAAAGCAUCAAGUAAUUUACGAGUACUGCUUUUAGUUCAUAAUAAUUCUCUUUAAAUCAUGAAUCAAAAUUCUUCGAAAACUAAAACAACCAUGCAAAAUAAACACUGUUCUCUUUCAUACUCACUCUUAAAAGGAAGCUUUAUUUAUUGAUUAUGAUAUAUCUUUAGUACUGCAGAAGUUCAGUUUCGGAAAAGAAUGCUUGUCCACUCAGACAAAACGAUUAUACUCACAACAUAUAUGGAAGUGAGUACCCACAGAUUAAGCCAAUGCAGCACAAGAGACCACACAUCCCCGUCAAAAGGUGACUGACCAGCGAGCAUAAGACACGGACGACCUCGUGAGGUCAGACCGCGCAACACACUGACGAGUCGGUUAGUGAUGGGGGUCACCGCUGCAGAUAGUCCUAGACCGCUUCACGCGCACGUGAUUCAGCGGACACCUUGGCAGAAAACAACAUAUUUCCAACAUAGGAACAAUUAAUUACUCCGACCCUUUACUCAAAAGCUUGGACACACGCUAUUGGAGGUCAUGUAGCAUCAACGCGCGUGCGUUGUGUAUCAUCGCAACAAUGAUCAAAUUUAUUUUUAAGCCAAUAACAGCCGAUAAAGGGAUCAUGCUCGUGGACGCCGAAAAGACGCGACCAUCGAUGCAAGGGACUUUAAGCCUUUAAUCCAAUGGCAGACUAAGCUGCAACUGUUAACGCUUUGCAUGCCCGCGGUUUUGAAAUUUCGGUGUUUUCGCGUUUUGGCCAAUGUCGCUGCAGCUACAGAAAAUUCUUCAUGAGCGAUCGCUGUUCGACAUUGUUUUUUGGCAACAGUAAGUACAAAGUAGCAAGUAGUAUUUUUAGCAGUCUUCUAUAAUUUUAGAAAUGGAAUUCAGUCCAAAAUAAGUUGUUGUGCAAGAGGUUGUGGCACGUGAUUGGUAAAUUCAAUAAGAUGGCAUUUAUGCUGCACAUUAAGUGUGGUCUUUAUUUAUUGUCAUUUCAUUGCUACUAGAAUUACAGUUUGGCUGUUUUUAUUAAUGUCGAUUUGAUUUACUGUUGUAUAGGUGAAUACAAAGAAGUUUGCGGACUCUGUGAGAGGCCCAGAGAAAUCUUAUAGGUGGACACCAACUCACAAAAUACCCACACACAGCACAGAAGAAUACAGAUAACUCUUAGACGGUCUUUUUUAUUCUAUAUUUCAAUUUAAUUUAUUUAAUUUGCUAGCUUUAGCAGCAGUACUAGCUGAAUGUGACCUUUUGCCGUCUGUAAGGCAGUGUCUGUGAUAGAAAGAGAGUGUGGAAAAGAAAGCAAGCGAAGUAGAGGGGUAGUGUGAAUGUAUGUGCACAUACAUAGGAUAGGCUUGAUUAUUCUUUCUUUUGUUUUCUUUCUUACAUCAUCAAGUCAUAUUCCGAGUGCAGUGUCACUUUGCUGUAAACAAAUUAUUUAAAACAAAUAAUUUAAAGUGUCCCUAUUUAAAUACUUUAAAAUGUAGAUGCUAUUCUCUUUGCCACAAAUUCGUGUGGGGAACUCAAAGUUGUGCCCACGUCUUGGUAAAAGAGUGUACUUAUACUUACCUGAAGAUGAUCAACUUAAAGUCUUGACAUUUUUAAAAAAGUGUUCUUUAAGUAUCAUGUAACAUUUAAACACUUUUAACAAAUUGUCUUGAAUGUGUCUUGAAUCUCAGGGGCCAGGCACGAGGAAUGGACAGCGGGGUCGUAGCUGAACUGCUGGCUCGGGAUGACUCUCGAGUUCUCUGCCACCGACGCCGACACGUGCGUACGAGCGCAUGGCCGCAGCAUGUGUCGAGGAGAGAAGAGGAUAUUGAAAUCAAUGCUCAUCAAGAGGAUGGUGCAGCAGAUUCAACAAAUACGAGGAAAACAACGAAGCUGAGGAUAUUCCCUCAUCUGCAGACGGGGAUUUUCUGAACGAAUGGUGUAAAAACCUGAGUGGUUUUCAUAUGAAACCAAGCUUCGUCGCCACGCCAGGUUUGAGGGACUAUCUAAAUCUUCCCCCUCGGGGGAAUUUUAAGCCCAUCGAUUUUUAAAAAUUUCUUUAUAAAUAAGGAUUAGAUAAAGAAGAUGAAGGUGAAUAUGCACAGCAGGUGAUAGAUAAGGUUAAAAAAUCUAAAGUUACUAUUUCAGCUAGAAACAUGGAAGCCUGUACAAGUCUGUGAGUUGUAUAAUUUUGGGGCUUUUAUUUUACAUACGAGCGUUUUGCAGAAGCCUAGACUUACUGAUUACUGGACAAAAUGUUCAUUUCUUCAAACAACGUUUGCUUCUAAGAUAAUGAAGCGUGAUAGGUUUAUGAGCAGUAUGCUGUGCUUCCCACUUCCGUGUGCUUAUGUAAGUGUAUUUACACAAAUUUUGACUUUCAAACCACCAUGAGGCACGCAAAACAGGAGUGUAAAGGCGGUUCUAUCUUCUCGCCGGAAAGAAAAAAAGCUGUAAGGACGUGCGAAUAUCUUUCCUGUCUGCCAAGAGAAGUGGCGUGUUGCAUAGCAGGUAACGAAUCUAGCCGUUAGCGAAGCUAGCGGUCCCUGUGCAACGCAGAAUAGCCGGAAGACAGAGCUUCAAGAUGGCAGACAUGAGGCGAGGUUUGAGUGCAGUCUUUGUUUUGCAAUUACAACCCGUGUUUCGGAAGAUUCACCCCGACGUGCUGAGAGGUGUUGCAAAGCUGUAGCAAAACUGUCGCAUAUAAAUAUCGAGCUUGCGGCCCACCUGUCCACAGAAGUCAAUCAGGACAAAAGUGAAAACUCCAACGCGCACGUGGUCGAUUUCGUCUAAGUCACCGUUCCACGAUACUCGCACUUUCGAAUGUUCCCGGACGCCUUUGAUGUAAGUUACUGUAAUAAAAUUUAAAUAAAGUAAAAUGUAAUAAACUUAAUAAAAUAUAAAUAAAAAUACCAAAAUCAAUUAUAGCGAAUGUGAACGUCUUUUAUAUAUAUAAAUGCAUUACUAAACUUAUCUAUAAUUCUGCUCACACACACAAGAGAAACAAAAACUGUCAUAGAGAUCUUUGGUGAAAUUUUUCAGGUUCUCCAGGCUUGGAUUGAGCCUCAUCUGCCGCAAGGAAGAGGUUUCGGCAAUAGAACUAAGCUUCUUGCCACCUUGUGGUUGCUGGCAAAUAAAGAGUCCUAUCGCAGCGUGGCAGAUCGUUUUGUAAUGAAUAAGGGUUCACUACACAGAUGCGUAAUGCUGAUCUGCAGGACAAAGCAAAGCAAGGCGGUGUCAUCCAACGGCCAGAAAGGAAUGCCCUUCACAUGCUUGCUGAAAAAUGGGAGCAGAAAGCUGGAAUGCCGGGUGUUGUAGUUGCUCUUGAUGGCACCAUCCUUGGAACUACAGGGCCAAGACGGGAAAGUUAUAUAUGCAGAAAGGGCUUUCCUGCUAUGCAUCUUCAGGUUCAGUUCACGACAGCAGUGCCUUCAGGACCUGCAAUCUGUAUCACCAUUUAGAAUCACCAGAAGGACGACUUCCACAUCAGUAUUUUCACCUCCUUGACAUUCCAUAUGUGAUUACUGCCGCCUGUGUUCUCCACAACACUAUUUUGAUACAAAGCGGUGUUGAUGAAAAUGAUAUAGACAUCAAUGAUGAAGACGGUAGCGAUCAGGCGGGUCAUCUUGAUGGGCUAAAUAUAGGAGCAGGCAAUACAAAGCGCCAUGAGAUUGCUAAUUAACCAGUGAAGAGCACCAAAACCACCCUUCAGAAUAUAUUCACCCAUAUUUGCCAUGCCACGUCUAUACCAUCUUUAAUCAGUAUCUGCAUUUCUCUUCCACCACCAUUUAUUAUUUGCAUUAUAUAAUUUGAAUAUUUCGCAUAAAUAUCUCUUGCAUUUGUGUCAACGUGUGUAUUUUUUUUUUUUUUUUGCCCCGUGCAAAUUGAGGUGUACAUGUCUUUGUGUCACCAUCAUUAAUAAUUUGUCCACCAUAUAUUUGUGCAUAUAUUAUAUGAUGUGUACAUUUAUAUUUAUGAUUUGUGUGACUUUACAGUUGUGAUUAUGUUGUCUGCAGAAGUUGACCCUUCUGACUUUAUGCAUACAUCUACGUAAAUAUAUCUCGUGAGUUUGAUUUACUGUCUUAAAGUAAAGAAAGAACCAGAACUGAUAGACCCCUUUCCUCUAAACACACACACAGUUUACAUCUGUUGCUAUCUAAAGUUUUUUAAAAAUCGUCUGUCCGGGGCAACUAGUCUUGUAGUCUGUUGCCAAGCACGACUACCGACACAUUUUCAAGACGUGGGCUUUGUUGGUGUGGGUCCAUAGCAGCCUACGUUAGUUCAGGUAUCGUGGUCAUUCUCACCAGGCGAAGAUGUUUGUUAAAUGAACACAUUGCUCACACGUGAAUUUCUUCAUGCGUAGAGAGGGUCAGGUGACUACUCGGUAUUAAUUCAGUCUUACAUCAAAAAAGGUGGCGAGCCCUGUUGUAGGGACUAACUAACACCGGAAUGAGACCGGAGUCCUGUAUUUAUUCUGUGUGCGUGUGUGACCUGUAAAGUACAAAAGCAAUCUGAUUUAUGUCUGUCAAGAGUGAACAGCGACACCAGCAUUCAAGUAUUCUGAACCCUAGACUCGACAAUUAAUCCUCUUCCCAACUUUCCUAAA